UAUCUGCAAGGGGCAGCUGACAUGCUAAUCAUCCCAUCAUGGAGUUGGAUUGAGCACAGUGAAAUGUAAAGAAGACUCUCAAUUUCAGGGCAUGUGUGGUGGUUUGGCCAGUGAGGUUGGCCAAUGUAAUAAGAAGAAAGGAAGAAAGAAAGAAACGAGGUGCAUCCAGACAAUAAGAAUGAAACUAUUCUUUCCCAAAUGAUGUGAUCAUCAACAUAGAAGCCUCACAGAAUCACCAAAAGUUACUGGAGCCAGUGAGUUACCCCAUCUUGGGAAUCACAGAAUGGGAAAACAUACAAAACAAAAUCUGGUUAUCUCUGGGCAUGUCAAUAUGCAAUAUUGUUUUAAAAUAAUUUUAAUAAUUUA